UGGGAAUAUUGCACAAUGGGCGCAAGCCUGAUGCAGCCAUGCCGCGUGUGUGAAGAAGGCCUUCGGGUUGUAAAGCACUUUCAGCGAGGAGGAAGGUGGUGAGCUUAAUACGCUCAUCAAUUGACGUUACUCGCAGAAGAAGCACCGGCUAACUCCGUGCCAGCAGCCGCGGUAAUACGGAGGGUGCAAGCGUUAAUCGGAAUUACUGGGCGUAAAGCUCACGCAGGCGGUUUGUUAAGUCAGAUGUGAAAUCCCCGGGCUCAACCUGGGAACUGCAUUUGAAACUGGCAAGCUAGAGUCUCGUAGAGGGGGUAGAAUUCCAGGUGUAGCGGUGAAAUGCGUAGAGAUCUGGAGGAAUACCGGUGGCGAAGGCGGCCCCCUGGACGAAGACUGACGCUCAGGUGCGAAAGCGUGGGGAGCAAACAGAUUAGAUACCCUGGUAGUCCACGCUGUAAACGAUGUCGA
rnacentral:rRNA from 1 species